GGGAUUGCAUAACUACUUACACCCAAACCGCCAGGGACUACGAGCUUUAGCUUAAAACCCAAAGGACUUGACGGUGUCCCACCCAACUAGAGGAGCCUGUUCUAUAACCGAUAAUCCCCGUUCUACCUAACCCCCCUUUGCCUUUUCAGCCUGUAUACCUCCGUCGCAAGUCCGCCAUAUGAAUGCCCUUCAGCGGAUUAAAGGAUUUUUUAUCAAUACGUCAGGUCAAGGUGCAGCCUAUAGGGUGGCAAGCAAUGGGCUACAAUUUCUAACCUAGAACAUACGAAGUACUGCAUGAAACACAGUCAUGAAGGAGGAUUUAGUAGUAAAAAGAAAAUAGCGUGUUCUUUUUAACGCGGCCCUGGGACGUGUACACACCGCCCGUCACCAACAGUGUUUACUCCGCCCGUCUUCAUCAGGGAACUCACAUCCCAUUAUUGAGGAGGGCGUAACGCUUUUAAUGUUCCGGACGGUGCACCUUGGUA
rnacentral:rRNA from 1 species